CUAUCAUUAACUGAAUCCAUAGGUUAAUGAGGCGAACCGGGGGAACUGAAACAUCUAAGUACCCCGAGGAAAAGAAAUCAACCGAGAUUCCCCCAGUAGCGGCGAGCGAACGGGGAGGAGCCCAGAGUCUGAAUCAGUGUGUGUGUUAGUGGAAGCGUCUGGAAAGGCGCGCGAUACAGGGUGACAGCCCCGUACACAAAAAUGCACAUACUGUGAGCUCGAUGAGUAGGGCGGGACACGUGGUAUCCUGUCUGAAUAUGGGGGGACCAUCCUCCAAGGCUAAAUACUCCUGACUGACCGAUAGUGAACCAGUACCGUGAGGGAAAGGCGAAAAGAA
rnacentral:rRNA from 1 species